rnacentral:misc_RNA from 1 species
GUCUUUGUUGGAAGGCCUGUUAUCUAUGGGCUGGCCGUGAAAGGAGAACAUGGAGUGAGACAGGUGAUUGAAAUGCUAAAGAAUGAGCUUGAGCUCACCAUGGCCCUUUCUGGCUGUCCUAGCCUGAAAGAUAUUAGCAGGAGCCAUGUAAGGACCGAGUGUGAGAGGCUCCAAUCGAUGCUCUAAUGCUGCCACAAAGUGUUAGAUAAAUCCAGGAUGGACGAUUCUGAUAAUCAUUUGUGCAUCAAAUAGUUGGUUUCAAGCAUUGUUAAAACUGCAUUCAACUAGGACUAGCAGUAUGUAUGCUAUGCUUUUGUUGUUGAUGGCCCUGAAGCACCCUCUGUUAGUGACCAAGAGAAUGGGAAAUAUCAAUAACAAUAAUCUCGAUUUGGGUUUGCUGUUAUUUGGGUUGUAAUCAUAUGAUAUGAGGUCUGGUCAGUUGGAUAUCUUUGCUUUUU